GACAGAUCUACGACUGUGGUGUCGUGAUGCUAUAGAUAAGAUCCUUUUAUGCAUCAAACGUCUACAGGUUGCUCUAGUAAACCUGGCUAAAGUAAAUGAAGGUCUCAUUGUUCCUGGCUAUACUCAUCUAGAGAGAGCCCAACCUGUGUUACUGCAGCAUCUUCUCUUGUCAUACGUUGAGCAGAGUUGUAGGAGACCUUGUCACCCUUCUUGUACUUUGCAAGGGACUUCCACAAGCUUACAACCGUGAUAUACAGGAAGACAAGGAGCCUC